GGGGGAUUAAAGAAAACCUGGUAUUAAUUCAUGGGUAUGAAUAGAGCCCUGCAGAAAUGAAACAGAGCUACACCCACAUGCAGCCAUUUACAUUUUUUGUUUCCGGAGAAGCUGAUCCCUUAUCAAAUCAAACCUGAACAUAACAGAACAUGAAAUAAAACUUAAAACUGGCACUGCGAGGAUCUAUGGUGCAAACCUGCUACUGAGAUUCAACCAGAGUCUUUGGCUCGGCUGGGUGACACACGGGGGAUAGGUGUGUGUAUAUAUAUAUGUGCCGCCUCCAAUCCUGCUACCUACCACACCCACACCUCACUGUCUCCAGCGCGCUAGAGAGGAAGGAGAGAUGGGACCCGCAUCGCAUCCCGGGCAGCGCCCUGGCAGGGCAAGCCCAGCCAUUCGCUCCUGCUCCAACUCUUGCCCUCUGCCGUCUGUAACGGGAGGGCAAGAAUAUCUGGCAGCUCUCUUGAUCUUUCGAAAUAAUCACGUUGAGCCUGCCAGUGGGUAUCUCCUCCCUCCUAGCUAAACAAAUACACCGGCAGGAUUCUAAACAGCGGUGGAGAAUUUGUAACAAAAUGUGUCAUUCGCCACCAUCAAGCCCCCUUUAUUGCAUUUCCCCUACUUUUGUUAUAUAACAGAACCUCUGACACGCGUUUAUUUGCUUACAACAGUAUCAGGAACCGGUAGCAGACAGUUAAGCCUUCAGGGCUUGCCAUGCAGUUAUUAAACAGUUCAGUUUGUUAAUAUUUCAAGCUUGACCCUGCCAGGAGGAUAUGCAUAGACACCCUGACCCUAUUCUGGCUUCUUAAAGUACUUUUGUAAUCAGCUGUUAACUAUACAAAUAACUUUGCUGCUAAGGAUUAUCAGAUAAUCGUAUUUUAUUAACUGAGAGGCAGCCUGUAAAUAUUUAGUUUUAUUAUCUUGCAGGGUAUCAAAUAUUACUCCAAAUUUCCUCCUCGCAGAUUUCUCCCCUUUAGACCUUUGAAAAGUUGUGCAAGUUGAAUUUUAUUAUUUAUAUUUUGAGAGGUGGUAAACAUUUCGCUUUGUUUGACUGGGGUAAUUGUG